rnacentral:lncRNA from 1 species
CCUAACCCCCUAAUUCUGCAUCCCUAAUAUUGCGAUUGACGAUUCGCCUUCGAUCUUCUUCUCUGCAGCUAUCACCUUUCUCAGUUCAAACCCAACAACCCUGCAGUAAUGGAGUUAAAACAAGUAUAGAUCCUGAUGCCGAAAUCUGCCGUACAGCUAUUGUACAUCGUUCGUCGGAGGGACAGGUUGUGGUAUUUGUUCACCUGGAUAUACCAUGGCCGAUGGGGUCAGACAGAUUUUUGGGGAGGAUGAUAUUUUUAUGAAAUGCUCACGCAAUGCAGCGCAAUCUAUUGGGGAUAACAUUCAAUCCCAUAUCAAUAGCCGAAGAAGUGAAGAGAUGUAAUAGAAGAUGACAUUCAACAACCGAUAAAAUCUCCUACCCGGGUUCUUCCAAGUACCGGAAACCAUCAAGACAACAACUUGAUUGUGCCUGUAGUUCGGCCAAUUCGAUCCUGUUGACUUACAGGAUGGACUACCAAUUCCUUUCAUAUUACUUCUAUGCUUGCUACAGGGGAAGAAAAAUGGAAGCCAUUGAGGCCGGCGGUCUCGUCAAGAAUAGAGGAUCGAAGAUAAGGAGGAAUAAAAGGAAGAGGAC